GGACUAAACCAGGAUUAAACCAGGACUAAACCAGGACUAAACCAGGACUAAACCAGGACUAAACCAAGACUAAACCAAGACUAACCCAGGACUAAACAAAGACUAAACCAGGACUAAACCAGGACUAAACCAGGACCAAACCAGGACUAAACCAGGACUAAACCAGGACUGAACCAGGACUGAACCAGGACUAAACCAGGACCACAUGCUGUGCAGCUCUACAUGUGUAUUUAAUGCCACACUGACGGAUCUUUCCUCGCCUGUUCAUCAGAUCUAAAUGUGGUCGUGUCAUGUUGGGUCAGAUAUAAACACUGGACUCAGACCCAAACAUCGUCUGUCACCAACUUCUACACAAGAAACACAACAGGUCACACACACACACACACACACACACACACCCCAACUCACACAGCGGAGGACACUAAAGCUACAGUGUGUAACCUUCAGGAGGGUCAGCUGCACGAUUCCAUGGAAACCAAAAGGUAAAACCACACUUCAAAACAUUCUCCAUUGGGAUAGAUAUGUUUAAUGACACACAGGGUUAUAAACAAAGAUGCACUGAUACGAUACUGCGUUCGAUUCUGUGUUUGAUUCUCCGUUUGAUUCCGCGUUUGAUUCUGUGUUUGAUACUGUGUUUGAUUCUGCGUUUGAUACUGCAUUUGAUUCUGUGUUUGAUUCUGCGUUUGAUUCUGUGUUUGAUACUGUGUUUGAUUCUGCGUUUGAUUCUGUGUUUGAUACUCCGUUUGAUACUGAAGCUGAUAUUCAAACAUUUGGUGAAUCAGAUAUCGACUUCCAGGCCCUCUGUUCAGUCGAUACCUCACUCUGGUCUAUAAAUCGAUGUAUAAGACCAAUUACUGGACAAAAACAUCUCAUAAUAUUAAAAAUGUUCCGUUGUUACUUUAAAUCACAUGUGUCAAAUUCAAGGCCCGGGGGCCAAAUGCGGCCCGCCAUCUCAUUUUAUGUGGCCCGUAACGAGGUAAAAUAAAAUGUAUGUCAGUUUAUAAGGACAGACACAGACAUAUUUUUUACAUCUUUUACAUCUCAUUUUGCCUUUGUGGCCCUUGAUGAAAUUGAGUUUGACGCUUUAAAUGAUAAAUAAAAGUUAAAAAAAAACCAAAAACAUUUGGAUCAUUUUACCUCACACUGUUUGUGUUUAAAAGAAAUAAAUGAAUAUAAAUAAAUAUUUUCAGUCUCUCUUAGUAUUGGUUGAUAUCGGGUAAGAAAAGCCCGGAUCAGUGCGUCUCUGUGGUUAAAUUACGUGUGAUGUCACUUCCGGGUCAAAGGUUCAUCAGCUGAUUGAAAAUAUUGGACAUGUUUUCUCUUUUCUGCGACACAUUUUUGUUAAAGGUUAUAACUGUGACAUAAAGUGUAAAAGGUUUAAGGAAGAAGCGCGACCAGGCUAAGCUAGUGUUAGCGAUGACAGUGACAUACACACUGAUAAUCCUGCGCUGUGGUAAAUUACGACAUUAUUUACAAAUUCGAUUCAGUUUGUGGUUAAAUAUAAGUUUUUGAAACGUUUCUUGAUGAAUAAAGAACAAAAACUAAAACAGAGGAAUCAGCCGUGACAUUUCUGGUUAAACCUGGAAGUGACAUCAUCACUUAACUGUCCCACAUUUCCAUGGAAACAAGCAGGAGCCCCUCGACCAGGCCAAGUAAGAGUCAGGUUUGUGGAGAUGCGAGCCCUCACAUUAAGGAUACAUGUUUUUCAAUGUUUUUUCCCUAAACUUAAUUCAAGUGAUUUUAACUUGUGACUGUUGUUUUUACAGUCAUCACUUUCAAACAAACAUGCAGAAAACAAAACAAAACAAAAAAACACGC
ensembl:lncRNA